rnacentral:rRNA from 1 species
GCAAGUCGAACGGUAACAGGUAUUCGGAUGCUGACGAGUGGCGAACGGGUGAGUAAUACAUCGGAACGUGCCCGAUCGUGGGGGAUAACGAGGCGAAAGCCUUGCUAAUACCGCAUACGACCUACGGAGGAAAGCGGGGGAUCUUCGGACCUCGCGCGGACGGAGCGGCCGGUGGCAGAUUAGGUAGUUGGUAGGAUAAAAGCUUACCAAGCCGACGAUCUGUAGCUGGUCUGAGAGGACGAUC